rnacentral:lncRNA from 1 species
CAGAACGAUGCGCACCUCGAGGGAGAUUCUCUGAAAGUAGUUUUGCUGGCUAUACGGAGAGGGCACAGUUUGAGGAGCAUGUUGCAGGGGUUAUCAUUGCUCUGUGGUUUGCUAUAAAUACUGGACGGUGUUGGUCAAUGCUUGGACCUGUCGAAUUAGGUCGUUGAAUCAUUACAGGUCCUCUAUAAUAGGUGGUGGUAUAGGCCUUUGAGG